AAACAUUCAUCACUUCUGCUGGAGCAUAGCUCAUGGUACACAUUAGGAAAUUUCCAGUAGCUGCAAGAACAAUACAAACAGAAAUCAGUAAAGGUCUCUGUGUUACAAGUGCAUCUGAAGGACGCUCUGUGAGGCAACCCCCCAGGAGCUGCCAAAGCAGGUUUCUGUCAGAAGAUGAAAGUAAGCUUCUUCUCUGAAAAUGAACUGCUUUGUAGGAAAAAGGAAGCAAAAACAUUUUUCUUCCCAUCAGCUCAUUUCCUUCCUAAACUAACUCCAUCAUUUCCUAAGCCUACCUAGCACCUUUCUAUUUAAUAAGUUUAUCUGCAAAGUGCUUAAUUCUGCUGCUUCUCCAAUUCUCGGAGGUAGGCAAUCUAAGACUAUUUGCAAAUACCCUUUGAACUGAAGUGAUGAGAGACUGCAAUUAAUCAAAAGGUUGAAUCUAUAGAAAAGCCCUAUUAAAAUCUUGGGAACUGCUGAGGAGGUAAUGGCUAACUGUUCCCAAGGGGAUGAAAAAUAAUAAAGAAACAAAAACUAUUUAGGAAUCCUAUUAACAAAAUGUAUCAGACUGUAUAUGAAACUGUAUAAAAAGAUUUCAAAGCCAAAUGAGGCUUUGAGGAAAAAAAAAAACUUGGUAUUGUUUUGGUUUCUUUGUAUAAAUGCAUAGUCAGGCAUUCAUACUUCAACUGAAUGUGUGUCUUAUUUUCUGCCUGACCUCCAUCUCAUUCAGAAAGAUUGUCCCCAUAAAGUCAUUCUCCUGCCUUUCAGCAGGAUAGUUUUUAUCCUACUCUGUCAGUACCUUGAGAAAAGUACCCCUAAGGAAAUCAAUGAAAGAAAGGGCAACUGCUUGUAUUUUGGAGCACAGGGCUUAAAAUAUCUCCUCCGCCACUGUUUGCCAAUGCCACCAGCGAAGCAAGGAUAACAGCAGCUUCUUCCUGCCUUGUUCAGUGUGCAGGAUUGUUAUUUAGAAUUCAGUAUCUGCAGCAGCAGGGUGCUGACAUCCUCUGUCAUUUUCAGAUGUUGCAUGGAACAUAAGGAGCAGCCAGUGUGUUGGGGGAGGGCUAGGAGGGGGUGUGGUGUCAUGAGCCAUUGGGUUGGAGGGAGUCACGAAGAAACCUGUCCCAAGAAUGAGGAGCAACAAAGAGCUGGACAGAGGUACUAUUUCAACUCCUGCCUCCCACUUUUGAAAAGAGAGAAAGUAAGGAUUUAAGGACUUCCUAAACCACAUACGAGACAAAACAUACUGUGAAAAUGAAUCAUGUUUUCUUCUACCUCAUUAGACAAGGAGAUUUUCUUGGAAAGAAAUUCUUGAAAAUAUCAUUGCAGGAUAAUUGCUCUCAUGCACAGCUUUCUCUUUCAGUUGUCCAAAAUCCUGUGCAGGCUCUAUACCACUGUCUUGUUCAAAACUGUAUUUUCUUCUAACCUUAUUGUAACUUCUGCUUUUUACUUUCUAGGCUGUAACUGAAGUCUGAAAGCACUCAGCUGUUAUGGUGGGAUCUGUGUUAAACACACAAAAAAGAAAUCACUGCGAUCUCUCAAGACAGACUGAUUGAUAUCUUAGACUACCUGACAAAUAACACGUUGUCUCAAAGCAAGGCCUUUAAGAUCUUCUACUGAUAAUACUCAUGAUAAUUAAAGGCCAUGGCCACUGUGAUUAGCCUAGAUUCUUUCACACACAAAAAAAUAAAGCCAACUUCUACUGGCUUUUGGUCAGUUAGUACCUCAGUAAGCCAUAGUUCCAAAAGCCUUGUGUCAUGGUGGAAGCUGUCACCUCCCUCUGGGUGACAAUGAAGCACAGGCACAGUUCUACAUGACCUGAUUUGAUAUUACCAGGUGGUAACACACUAACAAAAUCCACAGGACAACUUGAUCUCACAGAUGCAUCUCUGCCUUGAUGGUAUAUAAAUUUAAAGUGAAGGGCAGCACUUCUUAAUUACUUACAUUGUUUAUUUUAAUGUAGCUUACAGCUUUCAUUUUUAAACCAGAAAUGGAAGGACAUAGUUUCUCUCAAGACAGCAGGUUUGUGUUUUUAAAAGAUUUUAAAUUAAUACAUGUAUUUACUCACUGUAGCAGAAAUGCUAAGUAAGUCACAGUCUGAACCAGUGACUGAGCACCCAGUGGGAAGGCAGGGCCAACACAGGGGAGCUCAGGUGCAUGCAAUGUACCUGAGUGAGCAGAAGGGGUGGAGCCAGGAUCCACCCCUUCCCAAACCUCAUUUAAGGGUUGGCAGUGGAGGUAGGGAUUUUUUGCUGGAGAUCCCUGCCUCCCAGAGGUCUUCUGAAGGUCUUCCUGAGAGAGUGGGCUCCAUUAUGUUCAGGAGCAGAAUGAAAAUGAAAUCAUCAUUAGUCGGAUUGAUUCGGUGUCUGAAUACACAUUGUACCAUGAGGAUCCUCUUACCCUGAGCCAAAGUCUGUCAAAGUCAAUUCCAACAGCUGAUGAGGCCCUUCAGAUACCACUUGGAUAAAGAGGAUGAAUGCCAGCAGGCCCUUAACAAAGCAGUGGGUUGCAGCAUGCUGCUCGAAGAAGACAGGAAGGAUAGGUCAGUUUUUUCCUUGAAAUCCCAUCAUGGCAACUUCUGCAUUUGAUGAGUAUUACCAGCACAGAUAGACGCACCAUGGAGGGAAUCCCAGCCACACAGAAAAAAUGUGUACACAGUCAUCACUAUCUUUGGAUUCACCUCUGCAAGAUCUGGAAGAGCACACACUCAGGAAGCAGUUCUUCUUGCCAUGGAUACAGCAUCCCCAUUUGCCAUGGAAAGAGGACUUUGUUGGCUUUUGGACUGGUACCCAAAACUGGCACAUUAGCUCUGCCCCUGCCCACCAUAAUUUCACCUAAUACCCUCUUUACUAAGAUUCAGUCUUCAAGAUGUGUAGCAGUCCUGUCACACCAGUUUUAUGCAUGCAUUUUGAUCUUUCCACAGCAGAGACAAGUGUCUUUAAUGUGUAAAUUCACCUUUGAAAUGUCAAGACCACUUUACCAACUGUUAAAAGUUGUAAUUAAUAUUUGUAAGGGCUAAUAGCUAGCAUGCAUAAUCGAGGACUUAUCAGCUAACAUUUACAUUCUUCCUUCUGUUUGCAUUUUUAGAAAUAAUCAACUAAGACUAUUAUUGACCUGAAAACUGCCUGUCAUUCUGCUACUACAUAAUAGUCACAGAAUACACAUUUCAAAGCCACGGUUUAACAGAAAUACUUAAAACCUGACAACUUAUGAUGAUUCAACAAGAUGAGAAAAAGACAAGGGCUCAAUCUCCAAACCCUGAUCAGUGGGUGAGCAUUUCAUAAGCCUGAGCAAACAGGAGAGAUCAUUGCGAAGAAGUGCUUGAGUUGAUUUGCAUUGCUCUCAAUUAGGGAAGGUAGUCCAGCCAACCACUACUCCAGCAUUACUGACAAGGACAACAAUUUGAUUUCUAGAAGCACUACCUGACUGAAAGAUUCUGUGAUUAGGAACUGCCACUCCUUUUGGACACAAAAGGGGAAUCUUCACCUUGAAGUUCUGGGAUGCAGGUGGACUUGCUAGAUUCUUUCAGGGUCCAGUUCACUACAGUGUCAUCACUGACUUGCUGAGCAUCACCCAGGUCCUUGAAGACAUUCAGCAUGUACCUGAACAGUGGCAGAGAAAACAAGAUUUGGCUCAGAUCCUGGGCUAAGACCCAGCAAGCACACAGCCUGGAGGGAACAUGAACUCAUAGCAACACGCAAAGUCUUCAUGUAGUCUCAGCUCUGCUUUUUUUUUUUUUUUUUAAUUAUUUUAUUUUUCACCCCUUCAGCAAAAAGGAAGAGCCAUCUAUUGUAUCUGUAGUGCAAUUUCUGUUAAAUCAUUUAACCUCUAAUUCCUCUCACUUCGUUUCAUAUUCAGACAUUACUAGUGGACUGGAAAUUAUUCAGCCUGUAAAUACCAAGUUAAAAUAGAAAGAAUAACACUGCUUCUCCCUUGUUUGAGGGGAUUGCACUGGUUGUGCAAAUGCAGGGUGUGGAAAACACUGCCUAGUGGAUGAACUAGGGAGUAUUCUAGGUUACAUGACACUUAUUACUUUGCACAAGAAACUGGUAUUAGGCAGAGAGAAUGGCGUUGAAUCCUCUUGUUGAAGGAAAUAUUGGAUGACUUUAGCUUUGAAGAGCUUUCUUCCCUUGGCUGUAAGUGAGCGAACUAGAAAAAGCCACAGUAAAUCUUUCUAUUGCUGGGGAACAAAUGAGAAACUGUACUACAGAGAGUAUGGAAAAAGAAAAGCAAGCCCUUAUGACCUUAAGAACAUAAUAAAGAUGGUCAGGCCAGAGGAAGUCUGGGCAAAAACAAGGGACUGUGGAAGUUGCCUGUCAUGAUGACUAGUGGGAAGUAGAACAUGCACGAAGAAAAUGAGACAAUAGCUGGAAAUAUGUAGACACUGCUAAGACUAACCUUGAGCCACAUCCUUAUUUAGGGACUAACAACAAUUGAUGUUUAAUAUUCUAGUCCAAUGGCAAUGUUUUCCCUUAUCUUAGAGAAUCUGUUAUUCAUUUGUUUGAAUGCAUGUAAGCAUACAAACCUAAAGACAGGAUUGGGUUUAGCCUCGAGGCUUCUUCACAAGUAUAUGUUCUCAACAGACAGCAAAUGCUAAAGCUAGAAUUGUUUCAGAGUCUGCUUUGACACUUUCCACAUGACUCUUCUAGCAUGUUCCAGUCAUCAAACAACAUAUACAACCUUCAGUCAUCUUCUAAGUGACCUAUUUAGGAGCAAUUUCAGCAUGAAUAUAAAUUCAGUGAAAAUGUAAAUAUGCAUUCAACAGUUGCUGGAUGAAAUGGUGGGUGGUGAGAAGAAAGGGAGUUUCCAUCUGUCUAGCCUUACAGGGUGAGUGUAUUUUCACUUUGCAAGUGCUUUCUACUCAACAUAUAUGUGAUAUAUGAGAAGACCAAGAUGUGCUGUACUUGGGUAUAUGGAGAUAAAAAGAAACAUCCCUCAGUUGUAAGAUGUAUGUAGCUAUGAACUAAUACCUCUUUUUUGCUGUUUAAUGCGCUGUUAAAAACAACACUAGCUGCCUCCCUUACAUUCAGCCAAGAUCCUGUUGUGCUCAGAGCUCUCUGCUGACUUAAAUUUUGAGUUGCUCUGACUUAAUCUGAAUUUCACUAGAAGUAUAUUAGAAAAAGUGUUUUUGUCGUCUUUGAGUAUCUGGAGAAAUAUAACCCUAGCAAGAGUCGUCCUGGUAUCCAGAACAGUGUAACAGGAUGUGGUGUCUAACACGCAGGGCUGUACAUGAGCAUCAGCGCUCAAAAUCUUGCCAAGAAUUUAGUUUUCUAGAUGCCAGUCCAAUAUUAGCCAACACAAAACUUGACAGUGGAAAAGAGACAAGCAAAGCUGUUCAUUCAUUACAGAAUAGCUUAGGCCAGGUAAAGCUGGGAAAAAUAUAAAAUGUAAAAUAAUAAAAAAAUUGCAGUGGCAGGUGUGUCAAUUAGGAGCUAAUUAUCUUCUGUUAGUAAGUGAUAUACAGAUGUUCUGAGCCUUACAAAAAGAAACAGAAAUUCCAGAGGUGACAGCAUUUUGACUUUGUUGAAGAAUCUCUGUGUUGAAAAAUCUACUGUCUGUUGUAGUUAAGUCUAUUAGUUUCAUUUGUGGGCUUUUUUUUUUCUUUUUUUUUUUUUUUCCUUUUAUUCUUUUUUUUUUUCCUUUUUGGAGAGGAGGGCUAGGGAAGACAAUGAGAUAGUACUGUGUCAUCAUAGGAAAACAUAUGAGGUUGAACUCAUUUUGUGAACUACCUUCUAUUAUCCAGUUUUAAAUAACCCACUUUAUCCUUUGGGGUGGUGAAUAUCAUUUCCCAGAAAACAAAACAAGCUCACUAGUGGAUGUGGUCUGUCUAAAACUAAUCUUACUGAAGAAGAAAAAUGUAAGAAAUAAUACCCGUCAUCACCAGCAUCUAAGAUCACAUCAAGAAAUGCAAUUUUGGAGGAUCUUUUUGAUUGGAUGCUUUUGUUUUCCCUUUUUGAAUGCAUGUAUUUUCAUGCAGAGUCAGCAAAAACACCAGUACAGACUGAGGAACCAGGCAACUGGGAAUGAGCACUGUGGAUUUGGAGAGGACCUCCAGCCCUUUGAUGUUACAAAUGUCCAUGCCAAAACAAUUUUUGUAGUGAUAUUAAGCCCCUUGUGAACGCAGCUGUGUGGGGUUAUCUUCAUGGCUCUCCUGGAAAGCUAUUCUGGAACCUCAGUCCCAGAACUUAGACUUUGGAAUAUCCAAGUGGAACUCAUUUCUGAGUGAUUACACCAAGGCAAGGUUUAAUCUCUGGGAGAUGUUUCAGAGCUGAAAAACAGAAAAGCAGAAUCUCCAUGACCAGAUUUCAGUUUUGUCUACAAAACACUCACUACCUUCUCUCAGCAUUCAGAAGCACAGUGAGUUAAACUGCUGUAUGCUUGAGCUGGUGGGAUCACCAUCGUCUGCAAUAAAGUACCCAGCUUCCAACUGAAAAACAGAAGAGCAGACUCUCCUUGGCCAGAAGUCAAUGCUGAGAUCUCUGUGCGUACUUCUUCAGCAUGAUGGACAG
rnacentral:lncRNA from 1 species